UACGUAGGGCGCGAGCGUUGUCCGGAAUUAUUGGGCGUAAAGAGCUCGUAGGCGGCUUGUCACGUCGGGUGUGAAAGCCCGGGGCUUAACCCCGGGUCUGCAUUCGAUACGGGCUAGCUAGAGUGUGGUAGGGGGAGAUCGGAAUUCCUGGUGUAGCGGUGAAAUGCGCAGAUAUCAGGAGGAACACCGGUGGCGAAGGCGGAUCUCUGGGCCAUUACUGACGCUGAGGAGCGAAAGCGUGGGGAGCGAACAGG
rnacentral:rRNA from 1 species